AUUGAACGCUGGCGGCAGGCCUAACACAUGCAAGUCGAACGGUAACAGGAAGCAGCUUGCUGCUUUGCUGACGAGUGGCGGACGGGUGAGUCAUGUCUGGGAAACUGCCCGAUGGAGGGGGAUAACUACUGGAAACGGUAGCUAAUACCGCAUAACGUCGCAAGACCAAAGAGGGGGACCAUAGAGCCUCUUGCCCACGACUAUGCCCAGAUGGGAUUAGCUAGUAGGUGGGGUAACGGCUCACCUAGGCGACGAUCCCUAGCUGGUCUGAGAGGAUGACCAGCCACACUGGAACUGAGACACGGUCCAGACUCCUACGGGAGGCAGAAGAGGGGAAUAUUGCACAAUGGGCGCAAGCCUGAUGCAGCCAUGCCGCGUGUAUGAAGAAGGCUUUCGGGUUGUAAAGUACGUUGAGCGGGGAGGAAGGGAGUAAAGUUAAUACCUUUGCUCAUUGACGUUACCCGAAGAAGAAGCAACGGCUAACUCCGUG
rnacentral:rRNA from 1 species